rnacentral:lncRNA from 1 species
UUCUAAUUACUUAGGUCACUUCAGGCUUUAAAUCUAUCUUCUAAAUUGUGACACAGCCAUAAUUAGGCCAUAUGUUAAUUAGCAGGAUGACACUGUGUGCCUUGUCACUCGUGAGUGAUGUAGAUCAUCCCAGAAAGUGCCAUAGAAAGAGGAGUUCAGUGAGAAGAGGAAGUCUAAGGGAGGUUGGAAGUGACUCUUUGCUCAGCAAAAACUGCCUUAGCAGGAGAAAAUGGCAAUGUGUAAGAUGGGGAAAGGAUGGGGUCACACAAAGAAAAAGAGCUAGAGUUGACCUCUUUUCCACUCUGGGAAUGAGAUGUAAGCUAGGAGGCAAGCCUGAGGCUGAGACUCCACCAGGGAUGGCAGAAUCUUCUGAAGAAUUGGAGGUGGUGGCCAGGGCAGAGGUCAAGGUCUUGACGGAGGCCAUUGAUGAGAUAUAUCUAACGGGCAACAACUAUGGAAGACAGAUGUCUCAAUGCAAGGAGGACUCGCAGACAAAGUGAUUCAAGGAGGUGUUGAAAGAGUUAAUCGUCAAAGAGGCACCAAAUUUCCAUUUCCUGAGCAUCAUCCAGCACAGACUAGAUGACCUUUCAGCAGUUGUGCUGCAGAGGAAAGAAUUCAUCUAUCAGAAUUCAUCCAUUGGAUGACCUUUAAAAAUACCUUUCUGUCCUAAGAGUCAAUGGUCCCUCCAUAUCAAACAAAGCAUAGAAAUCAGGGAACCUCAGGGUCGGAAGGGGCUUGAAGAGGUCAUUUGAUUCACUUUAUACCAAAUAAAUAUGUCCCUUUUACUUCCUUAUUAAAGAGGAGCAUUCCAACUACUUUUUGAAACUAAUAAACUUCAGUUUUUAGAAUCAUUUUAGGUUCACAGCAAACUUGGGUAGAAAUUAGAGAGUUCUCAAAUAUUCCAUGCUCCGCUACACACAGGCACAGAUUCCUUCAUUAUUAGCAUCCAUCAUCAGAGUGGUACAUUUGUUACAAUCGAUUAACCUACACGGAUAUAUCAUCACCCAGAAUCCACAGCUUGCAUUAGACUUCACUCUUGUCAUACACUCCAUGAUUUUGAUAAAUAUAUAAUGACAUAUAUCCAUAUACAUCCAUCAAUAUUCUAUUGAUAUUCUAUCAAAUAGAAUAGUUUCACAGCCCUAAAAGUUGUUUGUUUUCUACCUAUUCAUCCUUUUCUCCCUGCUAACCCAUGACAACCCCUACUACUUUUACUGUGUCCAUAGCUUUGCCUUUACCAGAAUGUAUGUAGCCUUUUCAGAUUGGCUUCUUUCACUGAGUAAUAUGCACUUAAAUUUCUUCCUUGUCUUUUCAUGGCUUGAUAGCUCAUUGCCUUUUAGUGCUAAAUAAUAUUUCACUGUC